rnacentral:rRNA from 1 species
UACGUAGGGGGCUAGCGUUGCUCGGAAUCACUGGGCGUAAAGCGCACGUAGGCGGCUUUUUAAGUCAGGGGUGAAAUCCUGGAGCUCAACUCCAGAACUGCCUUUGAUACUGAGAAGCUUGAGUCCGGGAGAGGUGAGUGGAACUGCGAGUGUAGAGGUGAAAUUCGUAGAUAUUCGCAAGAACACCAGUGGCGAAGGCGGCUCACUGGCCCGGUACUGACGCUGAGGUGCGAAAGCGUGGGGAGCAAACAGG